rnacentral:ncRNA from 1 species
GACAUCUCAUUGGGGAGCUAGAAAAGUAAAAAAUUUCGUUACUAUCGCGAUAGUAACGAAACAAGAAUGUUCAGAUUUUGGAUGAACGUUAUUUGUGUUCGCGCUAAGGAACACAUCUUUUCGGCUGAGAGGUUCGUUGAACGACCCAUAAACCUGAUCCGGAUAAUGCCGGCGGAGGGAAAUUGUGAUGAUGACAG